rnacentral:lncRNA from 1 species
GUUCAUGCCCAGCAGUGGAGUCGACCAGUUGAUCAAUUCUUGGAAGUGGGAAGCUGUCCUUGGGGCAUGCCUUAUUCGGGUUUGUGAAGUCCACACAGACCCUCCAUUUCCCGCUGGACUUUUUCACUAGAACCAGGUUGGAUAUCCACUUCGGGUAUAUGGCCUCUUUGAUGAAACCACUGCAAUCGAGUUUACUUACUUCGUCUUUCAGCGCCUCGUCCCGUUCCGGAUUCAGCGCGCGCCUCUUCUGUCUACGGGGGGCAUAGGAGGGGUUGAUGUUAAGGCAAUGGCAACUGAUCCUGGGAUCUAUCCCCACCAUAUCCUCAUGUUUCCAUGCGAAGACAUCUAGGUUUUCUUUCAGGAAUCGUAUCAUCUCAAUUCUUGCUUCAGGCGAUAAUGACUUCCCUAUGCGCAAGACUUGAUUGGGGUCUUCUGGAUUGACUGGAAAAGUUUCCAGUUCUUCCAUUGGGGUCGCGUUUGGUUCAUAAUCAAUUAUUCGGGGAUCUAACUCGUCAAGAGGGUGUCCUUGUUCAGGGGCCUCUUCCAUUAUGACAUCUUCCUCUUGUUCAGAGGUAUGCCCUUGCUCAGGGGCGUCGAGCAUCUCCACGUCCGUACCGGCUUCAGCGGGUACUUCUGCUAGAAUUAAAUUGACAGUCCGGGGCUCCGAUUUGUGUAGCGAGUUCAGGUAGCAUGCCCUGGAGCUCAUCUGAUCGCCCCGAACCGUUGCAAUCCCACGUUCGGUUGGGAAUUUCAUGCACAGAUAGUGAAUGGACGUCACAGCCCAAAGAUCUUUUAGAGCCGGUCUGCCCAACACCCCAUGAUAAGCCGACCUAUGAUCUACUACCAGAAAUUCCAUGAAAUGCUGGACGACCAGGGGGGCCGAACCCAUUUCCACAGGCAGGGUAAUCCGCCCUCGUGGGAUGAUGCUGUCCCCAGUGAAUCCGAACAGCGGGUCGGUCAUGGGGAUUAACCCAUGUUCAAUUUGCAUUUUGUCAAAAGUGGAGCCAAACAAUAUGUUCACGGAGCUGCCGUUGUCAACGAGCAUGCGUUUUAAUCCGUUUCUAGCCACUACGGCCCUUACAACCAGAGCAUCGCAAUGGGGAUGGUGAACUCCCUCUGCGUCUUCCUGCGAGAAGGUGAUUGGGGCCAUCUUGUUUGCUGUUUUCGAUUCGUCGACAAUGUAGGUGAUCAUCGGGGGAUCCUUAGCUUCUCUUGUAUAAUUUCUCUGGGCAUUCCUGGUGUUGCCACCGACGUGGGGUCCCCCGAUGAUGGUAUCGAUUUCCCUGAUGACCUGGCUUCCAGCGAAUUGAGCUUGGUUCUCUUUCCUGGAUUGGCCUCGGUUUCUUGAUUCUCUUCUGCUAGGAGAUUGUUCCUGGUGACCCCUUCCUCCCCUCCUCGGGGAGGUGGAUCUGCGGGGGUGCUCAUUUCUGCUGGAAGUGAGGGGGUUGCUUCGAUCAGGGCGCCGGUUGGCAUCCCGACACUCACUGGUGUCAUGCCCAUAUAGUUGAUGGAAAGUACAAAAUCUUGCUCCUGGCAAGGGCCUGUUCGGCCUCUUCUUCUUCUUCUUCUUGUUGUCAGUUCUUCCGGAUGGUGCUGCCUCAGUGGGUGCGCUAUCAUAUGCCAACACCGGCACUGCGUUCAAUGUGGCGGAAGCUAGGGCCUGUCCG